AUGGAGCCAGCGCCGGAGGGCCCAGGAUUCCAGAUUGAGGACGGGCACACGGUGCGGUGGGCCGGGUGGGAGUUCCACCUCAAGGCGGACGCGCGCGCCGGGCUGGUCGUGUCCGGCGCGACGGUGCAGGACCCGGCCACCGGGGCGCGGAGGGAGGUGAUGUACAAGGGCAUGGCGUCGGAGCUGUUCGUGCCCUACAUGGACCCGACGGAGGCGUGGUACUUCAAGACGUACAUGGACGCCGGCGAGUACGGGUUCGGCCUGCAGGCCAUGCCGCUGGUGCCGCUCAACGACUGCCCGCGGCACGCGCGGUACAUGGACGGCGUCUUCGUCGCCGCCGACGGCCGGCCGUACGUGCGGGAGAACAUGAUCUGCGUCUUCGAGCGGUACGCCGGCGACAUCGCGUGGCGGCACUCCGAGAGCCCCAUCACCGGCAUGGACGUAAGCUCCACUCCCCUCCCGCACACCCACACCUACCCUCCUCCCUGCUACGUAAUAAGGGAGUCCCGGCCGAAGGUGACGCUGGUGGCGCGCAUGGCGGCGUCGGUGGCCAACUACGACUACAUCGUCGACUGGGAGUUCCAGACCGACGGCCUCAUCCGCAUCAAGGUCGGGCUCAGCGUGAUCCUGAUGGUGAAGGGCACGCCCUACUCCCACAUGAACCAGGUCCGGCAAAAUGAGGAGAUGCACGGCACCCUCCUCUCCGAGAAUGUCAUCGGCGUCAUCCACGACCACUAUGUCACCUUCCGCCUUGACAUGGACAUUGACGGCGCCGACAACUCCUUCGUCCGCGUCGAGAUGGCCCGCCAGGACACCGCGCCCGGGGAGUCACCCCGGAGGAGCUACCUCAAGGCCACGCGCCACAUCGCGAGCACAGAGAAGGACGCUCGGGUCCGGCUAAAGCUCUACGAGCCGGCCGAGUUCCACGUCAUCAACCCGACAAAGAAGACACAUGUCGGGAACCCGGUGGGCUACAAGGUCGUCCCUGCAGGCACUGCGGGUAGCCUGCUGGACCCCGAGGACCCUCCGCAGAAGAGGGGUGCAUUCACAAACAACCAGAUUUGGGUCACGCCCUACAACAAGAGUGAAGAGUGGGCCGGUGGGCUGUUCGUGUACGAGAGCAAAGGCGAGGACACGCUGGCUACUUGGUCGGAGAGGGACCGUCCGAUCGAGAACAAGGACCUGGUGCUGUGGUACACGCUGGGGUUCCACCACAUCCCUUGUCAGGAGGACUUCCCCAUCAUGCCCACUGUGUCGUCCAGCUUCGACCUCAAGCCGGUCAACUUCUUCGAGAGCAACCGCAUCCUCAAGCAGCGGCCCACCAUGGAAAAGGACCUCCCCGUCUGUGCCGCUACCGCCUGA
rnacentral:rRNA from 1 species